CAGGGAGUGAGUAGGCUCCUAUGGAGGACCCUGGACUAGGGUCUGGAGGAGGCUGGGUACUCCAGGGGAACCAAACAAGAAGUCCAGUGCUCCAUAGCAGAAUCAAAGUCUCUCACAGGUACCCUGGAGAAGGGAAGAAAAACUGCUAGCUGAUGACAGCCCUGAAACAGAAACAUUUGAGAAGGCUUCUUUAUCUGCAGGAUGAUCUACAAACAGCCAAGAUUGAACGCUGUUGGUUCAGCUGCUGUCAAGUAAUUCACACUCAAAAUAGAUGUUGGAAUAUGUGUUUUUGUUUUUCAAGAGACAGUACUAAAAAACAGCUAUAGAAUUUAUGGAAAUAACACACAAACUCACCUCUGGGCUGAGAUCAAGCAUGGAAAAUGUCAGCCGUAUUGGAAUUUGUUUACUGAAGUUAUGGGCAAUUUAAAAAGGGAAGUUAUGAUGGCAGAAGCAUUUCAGUCUUAACUAAACUGGUUACUACUGUUACAUGUUACUGUUACACUGCAUGCACACAUACUUACAAGUUUAUAUAUACUGGUAAUAAACAUAUAUUACGUGUG